ACGAUUUUGAUUUUCUUGUAUGAUUAUUUUCUCAACCAAUAUGAUUAUUACAUGAUUACAAUGAGUAUAAGUAUAUCAUACAUAAAACUGCGGGGUACCUACUCUGAAGGUUUUAGGACAUUGUAACACUUUUUAAAAUGCUAUAAUAAAUAUAGGUACGUUUCUCACGACUAAAAUCUAUUAAAAUAUAGUACUUCUGCUGACGAGCAGGUGCGAAAGAGCUGGAAAAGCUAAAUUGAGUGAUUUUAGUAAAAAAACAGCUCAUGUACGGUUUUAACCCUAAAUGUACGUUUUCAGCGCUGGAUAUGUGCGUUUUGAGAACUCCGUUGCGGCAACACUGCACUCCCUCCACUUCAUUCAUACAACAUACAAUAACAAUGAUAAAACAAAAUUACAAAUGGAAUUUCCUUAUUUAAAUAGAUAUUUGUGCACUAAAUACAUAAUAAUAUGACAAAGAAGAAGAAGACGUUGCGUGUCACCAUAUAGCCAAGGAAAUAUCUUGUGAAAGUUUUAACUCAAGGCGGAAAUUUAUUGAAAAAAUACUCAACAUAACCUACAAUUACAGUGAAAUACUGAAAAUAUCUUGUACCGUGAUAAUAUUUCUGAAUAAUAAGUGCAAACCCAUACUCUAAGAUCGUGCUUUCAACCACAUACUUAAUACAAUUCCAUAAUCAUAUCGAAAUCCAAAAGUUCGUAAGUCGUAAGUGAUCAUAGUUUAGGUGUGUACUUAUUAGACUCAUGCAUUGUAAACUCUAUAAACGAUUACUCGUAAUGUAUUAAUCAUAUUAAAAGUUGAA